rnacentral:lncRNA from 1 species
AUGGCAUGCACACACCUUGCAGAUGCACCUUACAUGUGGCAUGCCUCCUGGGGGGACAAGCUGGAAAUACUGUUCCAGGCCUGGGCCAGGGUCCAGCAGCCCUUAGCCCAGCAGUCCAUCCACUGGAUAGAGGCCAUUGAGGGGUAUGAUACCUCCUCCCAAAAGGAUGAAGUGGUAUCUGCAGACAGAGCUGAGGUUAUCCCCAGGGUGUGUGGAGAUCCACCCCCACUGGAAGGGCCAGAUACCAUCAUGCCUAUCCUCAAGGAAGAUGGAUCCUACCUGCUCUGUGGAUUUUGGGCUGAUGAGCCUGAAGCACCAGCCCAGGCCUGGUCUGAGACUGUGAAAUGUACAAUCCAGCAGCCCAUCUGCUGUGCUGAGGCCAAUGUGGUGGAAGACCUUUCCUACAAAAAGGAGGAAGGGGAGGUGGCAACUGCAGUCCAGGCUGAGCCUAUCCCCAGGGUGUGUGGAGAUCCACCCCCACUGGAAAGGCCAGAUGUCAUCCUGCCUAUCCUGAAGGAUGACAGAUCCUACAUGCUCUGUGGAUAUUGGGCUGUUGAGUCUGGAACACCAGUGCAGGUUUCUGCUGAGCCUUGGCACCUUACAGCCCAGCAGCCCAUCUGCUGUGCUGAGGCCAUUGUGGUGGAAAACCCCUACCACCAAAAGGAGGAAGUGGAGUUGGCAUCUACAGACCAGGCCGAGGCUAUCCCCAGGGUGGGUGAAGAUCCACCCCCACUGGAAGGGCCAGAUGCCAUCGUGCCUGUCCUCAAGGAUGACGGGUCCUACGUGCUCUGUGCAUAUUGGGCAGAUGAACCUGAAGCACCAGACCAGGCCUGGGCUAGGGCCUGGCACUUUACAACCCAGCAGCCCCUCUGCUGUGCUGAGGCCAUUGUGGUGGAAGACUCCUCAAACAAAAAGGAGAAAGUCAAGGGGGCAUCCUCAGAUCAGGCUGAGGCUAUGUCCAGGGUGGGUGAAGAUCCACCCCCACUGGAAGGGCCAGAUGUCAUCGUGCCUAUCUUCAAGGGUGACGGAUCCUACCUGUUCUGUGGAUUUUGGGCUGAUGAGUCUGAAGCACCAGUCCAGGCCUGUGCUGAGCCCUGGCACCUUACAACCCAGAAGCCCAUUUGUUGUGCUGAAGCCAUUGCGGUGGAAGAGCCUUCCUGCAAAAAGGAGGAAGGGGACUCAGCAUCUGCAGAGCAGGCCGAGGCUAUACCCAGGGUGUGUGGAGAUCCACCCCCACUGGAAGGGCCAGAUGUCAUUGUGCCUAUCCUCAAGGAAGAUGGAUCCUACCUGCUCUGUGGAUAUUGGGCUGAUGAGCCUGAAGCACCAGUCCAGGCCUGGGCUGGGGCCUGGCACUUUACAACCCAGCAGCCCAUCUGCAGUGCUGAGGACACUUUGGUGGAAGAGCCCUCAUUUCAAGAGGAGGAAGGUGUGGUGGCACCUGCAGACCAGGCCGAGGCUAAUCAGAGCCUCUGCUCUGCAUCACACCUCGGGGUGUGUGAAGAUCCACCCCCACUGGAAGGGCCAGAUGUCAUUGUGCCUAUUCUCAAGGAUGAUGGGUCCUACAUGCUCUGUACAAUUUGGAUGGAUGAUCCUGAAGCGCCAGUCCAGGCCUGGGCUGGAGCCUGGCACCCUACAACCCAGCAGCCCAUCUGCUGUGCUGAGGCCAUUGUGGUGAAAGAUGCCACCUACCAAAAAGAGAAAGUCAUGUUGGCAACUGCUGAUUGGGCUGAGGCUACCUCCAGGGUGUGUGGAGAUCCACCACCACUGGAAGGGCCAGAUGUCAUCGUGCCUAUCCUCAAGGAUGACAGGUCCUACAUGCUCUGUGCAUAUUGGGCAGAUGAGCAUGAAGCCCCAGUCCAGGCCUGGGCUGGGGCCCUGCACCCUACAGCCCAGCAGCCCAUCUGCUGUGCGGAGGCCAUUGUGGUGGAAGAUGCCUCCAGCCAGAAGGAGAAAAUAGAGGUGGCAUUUGCAGAGCAGACUGAGGCCACACCCAGGGUGGGUGAAGAUCCACCCCCACUGGAAGGGCCAGAUGUCAUCGUGCCUGUCCUCAAGGAUGACGGAUCCUACCUGCUCUGUGCAUAUUGGGCAGAUGAGCCUGAAGCCCCAGUCCAGGCCUGGGCUGGGGCCCUGCACCCUACAGCCCAGCAGCCCAUCUGCUGUGCUGAGGCCAUUCUCGUGGAAGAGCCCUCAUCACAAGAGGAGGAAGGGAAGGUGGCACGUGCAGACCAGGCUGAGGCUAAUCAGAGGGUGUGUGGAGAUCCACCCCCACUGGAAGGGCCAGAUGUCAUCGUGCCUAUCCUCAAGGAUGAUGGAUCCUACCUGCUCUGUGGAUACUGGGCAGAUGAGCCUGAAGCACCAGCCCAGGUCUGGGCUGAGGCCUGGCAUGCAAAAACCCAGCAGCCCAUCUGCUGUGCUGAGGCUUUUUGGGUGCUAAGAACUUCCUCUGGUGGAUACCAUGAAACCUGACUCUGUUCAUUCCAGUACCCCAUUUAUAUUAAAGUUUGGUUUUGUUAAUUAUUUGGGUUCAAUAUUUUGCUCCAUAUUCUUUAAACCUCACAAAUACAUGGAUUAGUAUAACACUGGAACCUGGAAUUCUAGGUGUCUUCUGAUAACUGUAGUCAAGAUUGUUCCUAUGCCACAGGACGUGUCUACAUGCAUCAAGUCUAGUGAAAAAAACCAGACAUAGUCCAAUACCAUGUGAGUACAGGUUAAAGCAGACCUGCUGGGAGUGCACAGUAAGGAGGCAGUUCUAAGGUGAAUGCAAGAAUGCAUAUACUCAAGAUGAGCAUGAGAAUCUCUCAAGACAGUGAGGGAGUGUCAUUAGAAAGGCGUGUGGGACUCUUCUGGAAUCUUAGUGAGUGGGGAUAUUCACUUUCAACAACAUAUUAAUGUGUCCCCUUGAAUUUCAUGGGUCUUUCUCCAUACUGGUUUACAAAACAAAGGAAAAUGAUCGGGCCGGCACCAUGGCUCAAUAGGCUAAUCCUCCACCUAGCAGCACUGGCACACUGGGUUCUAGUCCCGGUUGGGGCUCCGGAUUCUGUCCCGGUUGCUCCUCUUCCAGGCCAGCUCUCUGUUGUGGCCAGGGAGUGCAGUAGAGGAUGGCCCAAGUGCUUGUGCCCUGCACCCCAUGGGAGACCAGGAGAAGCACUUGGCUCCUGCCUUCGGAUCAGUGUGGUGUGUCGGUCGCAGUGUGCCAGCUGUGGCAGCCUUUGGAGGGUGAACCAAUGGCAAAAAGGAAGACCUUUCUCUCUGUCUCUCUCUCUCACUGUCCACUCUGCCUGUCCAAAAAAAAAAGAAAGAAAAUGAUCAUUUUCUGUCAGCACAUCAUCACAGGAAGCACACAGGGAACUAUGAAAUUUGGCUGUUUUUCUUCUGCACAGUGCAGUGAGCCUUGGGCCCCUUGCUGCCUGACUGUUGAGCAAAGGGUAGGAGGUGGCCCACAUCCCAGCCAGGCCCCAAUGGUGGU